rnacentral:rRNA from 1 species
CCUACGGGGGGCAGCAGUGAGGAAUAUUGGUCAAUGGACGAGAGUCUGAACCAGCCAAGUAGCGUGAAGGAUGACUGCCCUAUGGGUUGUAAACUUCUUUUAUAUGGGAAUAAAAUGUUCCACGUGUGGGAUUUUGUAUGUACCAUAUGAAUAAGGUUCGGCUAACUCCGUGCCAGCAGCCGCGGUAAUACGGAGGAUCCGAGCGUUAUCCGGAUUUAUUGGGUUUAAAGGGAGCGUAGGUGGAUUGUUAAGUCAGUUGUGAAAGUUUGCGGCUCAACCGUAAAAUUGCAGUUGAAACUGGCAGUCUUGAGUACAGUAGAGGUGGGCGGAAUUCGUGGUGUAGCGGUGAAAUGCUUAGAUAUCACGAAGAACUCCGAUUGCGAAGGCAGUUCACUGGACUGCAACUGACACUGAGGCUCGAAAGUGUGGGUAUCAAACAGGAUUAGAUACCCCUGUAGUC